rnacentral:rRNA from 1 species
AGAGUUUGAUCCUGGCUCAGAACGAACGCUGGCGGCGUGCUUAACACAUGCAAGUCGAACGUGAUCCGGAGCUUGCUCCGGUGAAAGUGGCGCACGGGUGAGUAACGCGUGGAUAAUCUGCCCUGGUAUCUGGGAUAACAUCUCGAAAGGGGUGCUAAUACCGGAUAAGCCUACGGACUCUUCGGAGUCUGCAGGAAAAGGUGGCCUCUAUUUAUAAGCUACCGUAUCAGGAUGAGUCCGCGUACCAUUAGCUAGUUGGUGGGGUAAUGGCCCACCAAGGCUACGAUGGUUAGCUGGUCUGAGAGGAUGAUCAGCCACACUGGAACUGAGACACGGUCCAGACUCCUACGGGAGGCAGCAGUGGGGAAUUUUGCGCAAUGGGGGAAACCCUGACGCAGCAACGCCGCGUGAGUGAUGAAGGCUUUCGGGUCGUAAAGCUCUGUCAGAGGGGAAGAAAUGAGAUUGGCUAAUAUCCAAUUUUCUUGACGGUACCCUCAAAGGAAGCACCGGCUAACUCCGUGCCAGCAGCCGCGGUAA